GCUGGGCGUGGUGGCGUGUGCCUGUAAUCCCAGUUACUCAGGAGGCUGAGGCAGGAGAAUUGCUUGAACCCAGGAGGUGAGGUUGCAGUGGGCUGAGAUCACCCCAUUGCACUCCAGCCUGGGUGACAGAGCGAGAGUCUGUCUCAA
rfam:Pan troglodytes isolate Yerkes chimp pedigree #C0471 (Clint) chromosome 14, whole genome shotgun sequence.